CGACAGCAUUGGACAAUAUUUUAAAAGUUCAAAAGAAGUUUUCUUCCUAAACAUUUACUUAGCUUUUGGCCUUGAGUUGAAGAGAAUCAAAGAUAUACACCAUUCCUAGAACCUAGAUACAAGAUCCAGGGGUUUUUUCCAAACCAGCAACUCUUGCAGAAUAUUCAUGAAACUCUACGGUGUGCGGCCAAGAAGACACCUGAACUCAAGCUGCAGAUCUGAUACGACUUCCCAAUGCGAUGGUGUAUGACGUGUGAGCCCUAAGUCCUGAAAGCUACACUCUUUAGAACAUGCUUCACACAUUGUAUUGGACCUGCCUUCUGAAUACUUUCUCUCCACGACUGUGGGUCCUGCUUAUAAAGCCUGUGCUGUCUUCAUCAAAGAACCUCCAGCAUCUAGCAUGACGCCUGGUGCAUAGCUACGUCACCGGCAUGACAGACGAGACACAAGUCCCAGGAGGGCAGGGCGUCUGUAGGGUUUGCUCACUGCUCUGUCCCAGUGCCUGGCACGUAGAGGUGCUCAGCAAGUAUUUGCUGAGUGAGCAUCAGGCCGUUGAGGAGUGGAAAGUCAAGUUCUCACCACCCAGAGGCGUGCCCCAGGAUUUCUCAGAUUGUUUCACUUGCACAGACUGAGGUAGCUUUAGCAGGAGGGAGGAUGGGAAGGGUGAGAGGCAGUGGCUGUGAAAGGCAGGGAGGGUGAGGCAUCUUCAACCUUGACCGUCACUCUUACCCUGAUACAGACGGGGCUCCAGCAGCCCAGCCACCUACUCUCCUGCCGACCACUGAGAUCUGAGAGUCAGGAAGCCAAGCUGCCUUUCUACAGAGUGAUGCUGCUUCAGAAGAUGACCGGAGCGUCCUUGUCGGCAGCCCCUCUGUCUCACACAUUGCAACUGCUUCCCACGCAGUCCUGCCCUGAUGCUCCCAGCCUUGCCCUUAAGUGACCCUGAAAGCUGCCUUUUUCCAGAUGAGGAGACGCAGCACAUUUUUGCCAUUGGCAGGCUCCCUCGGGCCAGGAUUCCUAAAUAGAUUUAAAUCGAACAACUUAUCUCUUGGAAACUGAUUAGCACCCUGAUGUUUGCUCAGCUGCCUAUGUUGAAAUCUACUCUUAUCCAUCAACUAGCAGAUAUGGAAUACCUCCUGGGAGUCUGGGACCCUGCUAGGUCCAGAGAAACAUGAAGUAGUCCACACCAGGAAGCAGUUUCCUCCUUGCCUGGGGAGGCCCGAGAAAGUAGAGGACAGCAGCUAGGUGCUUCAUCAUGUGACAUGUGACAUGGGUGCCAAGGUCGCAGCAGUUGAGGGACUGGAGGGUGACUGGGGAUGGCAGUAGGUGGGGGCUGUGAGGCUGAGACUCAAGCAGAUGGAGCACAGAAGUGGGGAAACACAGUCGUGAGGGUGGCUGGGAGCACAGGCAUGGGGGCAUGAUGUCUCAGGACACCUCAAGGAGGCCUGCCUGGAUAGAGCGCGUGUGCCAGGACACCUGGUCGACAGGGCUGACUAGCUGGGGCAGGGCCAGCCGCCAGGGGCCAUGGAAGGCCGUGACGUAUGAAGAAUUACACGGGUGAUUCUGAGAGGUCAACUUGCUCAGCAGGCAGAAUGGGAAACAGACCAGAGGCUGCAGGGACACCAACCAGAGAGGAGUGUGGCUGGCACGAGGUAGUGCAGGCUGGUCUGGGGUAGAUGGGGUGGGAAAGAAAGGAUAAGGCGAGGUAAGAACGGCAGGAUGUGGCGACAGAGUGGGUGCACUGGACGACAGAAAGAGAGGCUUUGGGCCCCAUGAGGUAAGAGGGGUCAAAAGUUUAGGGCAAAAUUCAAUGACACAAAAUUAGCAAGAGAGCUGUUUAAUUUCUUUUUAAAAAAAAUUGCAUCAUCUUUUUAAAUUAUGGUAAAAUACACAUAACAUGAAAUUUACCAUUUUAGACAUUUUUAAGUGUACAGUUCAGUGGCAUUAAGUACUUUCAUGAUGUUGCAUAACCAUCACCAGCACCCAUCUCCGGGACUCUUUCAUCUUCGUAAACUGAAGCUCUGUCCCCAUUAAACUAACUCCCCAUCCCAUCCCCAUCGCCCCUGGCAACCCCCAUUCUGCUUUCUGUCUCCAGGAAUCUGAUUCCUCUAGGGACCUCUUAUAAGUGGAAUCUUACAGUAUUUGUCCAUUUGUGACAGGCUUACUUCACUCAGUGCAACGUCCUAAAGGUUCAUCCAUGAUGUAGCAGGUGUCAGAAUUCCCUCCCUUUUUAAGACUGAACAGUAGCCCAUUGUAUGCAUAUACACAUUUUGUUUACCCAUCAUCUGUUGAUGGACACUUGGGUUGCUUCCACCUUCUGACUAUUGCGAAUAAUGCUGAUACGUAUAUGUGUGUACAAAUAUCUGUUCGAGUUCCUGCUUUCAAUUUAUCUUUCUCUUCUUGCAUUUUAUGAUAAGCAAAUCAAGUCAUUUCUUCAACAUUUUGCUUAUAAAUCUCUUCAGGUAAAUAUCCAGUUUUAUUGCUUGAAAGUUUUACCUUCCGCGAAACACUGGAACACAGAUCAUCCAAGUUCUUUGCCUUUUUAUACUAAGGAUCGCCUUUCCUCCAGUUUCCAAUAAGAUGUUCCUCAUUUCUGUGCGAGACUUUAUAAGAAAGGCCUUUAACAUCCAUAUUUCUGCCAGCAUUCUGUUCAUGACGAUAAAGGUAUUUUCUAAGAUGACAGAGGCUCUCUCUAGCUCUUCUCUUUCCUCCUGAGUCCUCACCAGAAUCGCCUUUAACAACCACGUAUCUCCCUAUAGUCACUUUAAGGCAAUCCAGGAUUUUUCUGGCAUGCAUCUUAAAACUUCCACCUCUACCCAUCACCCAGCUCCAACACCACUUCCACAUAUUUAGAUCUUCAUUACAGCAGCACCUUGCUUCUCAGCACCCAAAUCUGUAUUAGUCUGCCUGCAGACUAUGUGGCUUGAACAAUCGGAAUUUAUCUUCUCACAGUUCUGGAGGCUCGAUGUCCAAGAUGAAGACGCCAGCAAAUUCAGUUCCUGGCAAGAGCUCUCUUCCUGGCUUGCAGGCAACCACCUUCUUGCCAUGUCCUCACAUGGCCUCUGCUCUGUGCAUACGCGGAGAGAGAGAGAUCUCUUCUUAGAAAGACACCAGUUCUAUCAGACUAGGGUCCCACCCUUAUGACCUCAUCUAACCUUAAUUACCUUCUUAAAGGCCCUCUCUCCAAACACAGUCACACUGGGGUUUAGGGCUUCUACAUAUGAAAUUUGUUCCACAGCUCAGUCCAUAACAGCAUACAUCUCAUGGCCUUGUUUAGCUGGCUGUGACAUCAUGAAAUGAGUGCUGGACCUCAGUCAGGUCAAUUUCUCCCCUCAUCCAAGCCCGUCCUCCUUGGAAAGCCAUUUAACCACAAUGGGUCUCAGAAACGUCAUGGGGGAAAACGUGACCUUUUCUCAGAGUUGCACGAAAGGUUAAAUCCAAUCAUGAACGUGGAGACAUUUUAGUACCCCAAGGAAUUCCUAGUCACAGCCUUUGAGGUCCCCGCAAUGGUCUAACAGUCAAAUGACCAAAGCCUGUCUCUAUCCUCAUCGCUGGGCACACUCUUCACACUGACCUCUUGCCUGCUAGUAAGUGCGGGAGGAGAGCAUCCUCUUUUUAGGCACUGUUUGGGAAGAGAGAUGGAGGAUGGCAAACACUUUGUCUCAAAGGAGUCUCAGCUGUGUUCGGUCUCAGCAGGACCUGAGUGGGUGGUGGUGUCUGCCGUGGGUGUGGGGAGUGGGGCCAGACGUAGCCCAGACCAGCUGCGGCUCUGGUGGUCAAUCACUAGGCUCCUGUUUUUCAAUUUUCUAGGCUCUCAGUAACCCUCUUAUCACUCUCCAGUGCAGGAUUUGUUUUUCAAGGAUAUGGAAUCCUAAUGCCAGAAGGCGGUCCUAGAAGACAGGCCAGGGAAGUCCCUGGAACAUGAAGAGUGGAGCAGCAAAGAGUGUCCCCAGCCAGAGAGCCACGGUGGGGAGGAUAAAAUCCAAGCCUGCUGGAGGGUCAGGACAUAGCGGUGAAUUUAUGUGCCCAGCACCUAGUCUCUCACAUACAAGAUGCUGAAUGAAUGGAUGCCCAGAACGAGAGAUGGAACCAUUCACUAAUCCAUUAAACGAACAAUUGACAGCCACUAUGGGCCAGAUGCUGGACUAGAAUGGUAGGGAUACGGGGGUGAACAGGACAUGCUUCUGCCUCAAGGAAUCUGCUGUUUAGAGAAGAACACGCAGGCACACAGGAUGCCGCGACGUGGUGUUGUGAAUGUUGUGGCGAUGGUACAUGCACGGGGGGGGGCACCAAGAUGGC
rnacentral:lncRNA from 1 species